AGGCUUGGGUGGGUGAAUAGGAGGAGGAGUAGAAAACCUCUCGUGGGCAGGAGAUCCGGUGAGUUUCUGAACAACGUCCCUGAAAUCAUUCUUGUUGAUAUUGUAAACCGGCGGCUGAUGCUGCUGCUGCUGCGCCUGCAGAUUCUGCUGCUGUGAAGCCUGUGAUUGCGUUUGCGAUUGAGAUGAAGUAUUGGAAUUAAUAUUAUUGUUAUUAAAGGUGUGAUGAUCAAAAGGAGGUGGAGGCUUCUUGGUGA
rnacentral:misc_RNA from 1 species